rnacentral:rRNA from 1 species
UACGUAGGGUGCAAGCGUUGUCCGGAUUUAUUGGGCGUAAAGAGCUCGUAGGCGGUUUGAUAAGUCGGGUGUGAAAUCUCCAGGCUCAACCUGGAGCUGCCACUCGAUACUGUCAUGACUUGAAUUCGGUAGGGGACCACGGAAUUCCUGGUGUAGCGGUGAAAUGCGCAGAUAUCAGGAGGAACGCCAGCAGCGAAGGCGGAUGGUCUGGGCCGACAUUGACGCUGAGGAGCGAAAGCGUGGGGAGCGAACAGG